UAAACGAAGAUUAUAUAACUUUGAGCGGUGGAUCACUCGGCUCGUGCGUCGAUGAAGAGCGCAGCCAGCUGCGUGAAUUAAUGU
rnacentral:rRNA from 1 species